CCUACGGGAGGCAGCAGUGAGGAAUUUUCUGCAAUGGGCGAAAGCCUGACAGAGCAAUACCGCGUGAGGGAUGAAGGCCUACGGGUUGUAAACUUCUUUUCUCAAGGAGGAAGAUCUGACGUUACUUGAGGAAUAAGCAUCGGCUAACCCUGUGCCAGCAGCCGCGGUAAUACAGGGGAUGCAAGUGUUAUCCGGAAUUAUUGGGCGUAAAGCGUCUGCAGGUUGAUAUCUAAGUCUUUUGUUAAAUCUUUGGGCUCAACCCGAAAACUGCAAAGGAAACUAUUUAUCUUGAGUAUGGUAGAGGUAAAGGGAAUUUCCAGUGGAGCGGUGAAAUGCGUAGAUAUUGGAAAGAACACCAACAGCGAAGGCACUUUACUGGGCCAGUACUGACACUCAGAGACGAAAGCUAGGGGAGCAAACGGGAUUAGAUACCCCGGUAGUCCUAGCUGUAAACGAUGGAUACUAGAUGUUGUGUGCUCUUUGAGCAUGCAGUGUCGUAGCCAACGCGUUAAGUAUCCCGCCUGGGAAGUAUGCUCGCAAGAGUGAAACUCAAAGGAAUUGACGGCUGAAGAGNGCGAGCGACGACGAGGGAGAGG
rnacentral:rRNA from 1 species